GAUGAACGCUGGCGGCGUGCCUAAUACAUGCAAGUCGAGCGAACGAACGAGAAGCUUGCUUCUCUGAUGUUAGCGGCGGACGGGUGAGUAACACGUGGAUAACCUACCUAUAAGACUGGGAUAACUUCGGGAAACCGGAGCUAAUACCGGAUGAUAUUUUGAACCGCAUGGUUCAAAAGUGAAAGACGGUCUUGCUGUCACUUAUAGAUGGAUCCGCGCUGCAUUAGCUAGUUGGUAAGGUAACGGCUUACCAAGGCAACGAUGCAUAGCCGAUCUGAGAGGGUGAUCGGCCACACUGGAACUGAGACACGGUCCAGACUCCUACGGGAGGCAGCAGUAGGGAAUCUUCCGCAAUGGGCGAAAGCCUGACGGAGCAACGCCGCGUGAGUGAUGAAGGUCUUCGGAUCGUAAAACUCUGUUAUUAGGGAAGAACAUAUGUGUAAGUAACUGUGCACAUCUUGACGGUACCUAAUCAGAAAGCCACGGCUAACUACGUG
rnacentral:rRNA from 1 species